rnacentral:lncRNA from 1 species
AAGGACUGUGCUCCCAAUCCGCUUACGCUCAAGGAAGAACUGAGACCAGGCCCACAGAGUAUGGCUGUGCAAGUUGUUCACUCUACAAGGGCACCUGGCCGGGGUCUUACCUUGAAUGGAGGAGAAGAGCUUGAAGAUGAGGGGACAGGCCAAGACAACUACCUGGCCCCGAGGGGUGGCUGGCCAGCAGAUGAGGAAAUGGAGGCACAGACUGAUUAGAAAACCAGCUCAAGGUCAUGUUGCUGCUCUCUCAUUCCUGUUGAGGGCUCUCUGGUGGAGCCUCUGUCUCACAGGUCACCUGCAGGCCAACACUCCCAGAAGCAGCUAGCACCAUGGUUGACCUCGUCCAGGUCCAGGGAAGGCCUCCCUCUCCAGGACUCCUUUAGAUUUCCCCAGCAUCCAGACCUCACCUGCCUAAGUGCUGUUGCCCUGGAAGCCACAGUGAGCACGAGCUCCAUCUUGCACCUUUACCAGCCAAUGGGGGUAAAGACAUUAGCUGGGUUACUCAGGCUGAAAUGCUCAAGACACUCUGUCUCAAGGGAUUUGUGGCUGUUUCAUCCUCAAGUAUAGGGGGAAUAGUGGCCAGGAAGAUCUCAGAGGUGGCUUCUGGAAGAGGAAUCUGGGUACUGGCUACCCUGCCUUGUGUCCCAUCAUUGGUCUGUCUUGCCUGUCUUGGAGCACAUUUCUCACCAAGGUUCGUAGGCCAUGUUCAAUCCCCUCAAGGGAAGCCUGAGACCACAGCUACUGCCUCGAAUCAGAAGCCCCAGCC